rnacentral:rRNA from 1 species
UUUUGGACAAUGGGCGGAAGCCUGAUCCAGCCAUGCCGCGUGAGUGAAGAAGGCCUUCGGGUUGUAAAAGCUCUUUCGGCGGGGAAGAAAUUGCACGGGUUAAUACCCCUGUGUAGAUGACGGUACCCGAAUAAGAAGCACCGGCUAACUACGUGCCAGCAGCCGCGGUAAUACGUAGGGUGCGAGCGUUAAUCGGAAUUACUGGGCGUAAAGCGUGCGCAGGCGGUUUGGUAAGUCAGAUGUGAAAAUCCCCCGGGGCUCAACCUGGGAACUGCAUUUGAGACUGCCAGGCUGGAGUUUGGCAGAGGGGGUGGAAUUCCACGUGUAGCAGUGAAAUGCGUAGAGAUGUGGAGGAACACCGAUGGCGAAGGCAGCCCCCUGGGCCAAUACUGACGCUCAUGCACGAAAGCGUGGGGAGC